rnacentral:rRNA from 1 species
UACGAAGGUCCCAAGCGUUAUCCGGAUUUAUUGGGUUUAAAGGGUGCGUAGGCGGACUGUUAAGUCAGUGGUGAAAGCUCCAUGCCUAACAUGGAAAUUGCCAUUGAUACUGACGGUCUAGAGUACAUUUGAAGUGGGCGGAAUGUGUCAUGUAGCGGUGAAAUGCUUAGAUAUGACACAGAACACCGAUUGCGUAGGCAGCUCACUAAACUGUAACUGACGCUGAGGCACGAAAGCGUGGGAGCAAACAGG